rnacentral:rRNA from 1 species
AUUGAACGCUGGCGGCAGGCCUAACACAUGCAAGUCGAGCGGAGCGGCGGACGGGUGAGUAAUGCCUAGGAAUCUGCCUGGUAGUGAGGGAUAACGUCCGGAAACGGGCGCUAAUACCGCAUACUAUCAGAUGAGCCUAGGUCGGAUUAGCUAGUUGGUGGGGUAUAGGCCUACCAAGGCGACGAUCCGUAACUGGGCUGAGAGGAUGAUCAGUCACACUGGAACGGAGACACGGUCCAGACUCAUACGGGAGGCAGCAGUGGUGAAUAUUGGACAAGGGGCGAAAGCCUGAUCCAGCCAUGCCGCGUGUGUGAAGAAGUUCUUCGGAUAUGAAAGCAAUUUAAGUUGGGAGGCGUUACCAACAGAAUAAGCACCGGCUAACUCCGUGCCAGCAGCCGCGGUAAUUC